rnacentral:lncRNA from 1 species
CGAAGCGAAAUAGAGAAUAAAUCCAUUUUCUGUCGAUAGAAACAAGAAAGAAAGAAAAAAGCGAAACAAGCACAAGAGGGAUAAAAAUAGCAAUAAAUGAAGACGAUUUAAAACGUAUUAAUGCAGUCGAACGAAAAAUGUACUAGUUUGAUCAAUUUAUAAAGCGAUAACACUUUAUUUUUGUCCCGCCGGAAAAGACUUAUACAAUCAUGCGGUGCUUUCUCCAUGAAUUGUUGUCCUUCAAGCUCCAUAUCCACUUUGGAAGAACACACUCCGCCAGAUUUCAUAAAAAAAUUGAGUUUCUGAAGCCUAGUACUCAGAUCGAAAAAAAGGGGCCGCUAAAAAUAUCAGGGAUGAUAUUUGUAUGUGUUGAAAGUAGCAGCAGCGAGUUAGCAGCGGGCUGUUGUUAACCAUAAAGCAACUAUAUAAGACUAUAUAAGUCUCGUCGGAAAAAAUUAUGGAAACGUGCGAGUGAAAAGUGCGAGUGAAAAGUGCGAGUGAAAGGGCUCUCGCUGUAAGAGUGAGGGAGUGUGCUGAUUAAUCAUUUGAAGGCAAUGUGAAAAAAACAUAAUAAUUGUUUCAUAAUUUAAUUUUUAAUAGUUUGCUACAUAAUAGUAGUCUGUGUUUUGAAAAUAUGAACAUUUUGAAAAAAUUUGAAAAAAAAAUUUUGUCCGCAACCAACUUUCCGCGUCGACAAGCAAACGAGCACUGAGAAUUGGGUAACGCAGCGAGUAACUCUGCCACCGACGAGGCCUCUUUAUAUAGUUGCUUUAUGCUUAUAUAGUUGCUUAAUUGUCGUUGCCCUCACACUUACAGCGAGAGCCCUUUCACUCGCACUAUUCCAUAAAUUUUCCGACGAGACCUGCUUAUAUAGUUGCUUUAUGCCUUAUAUAGUUGCUUUAUGGCCGGAGCUCGCUCGCGCUCUCACUCCCUACGAUCUCGCGCUCUCCUUCUUUCCUGGCGCUCGCGAGCUGGCGGGUCGCCAGCCGCUAAGCUAGGUUUAGUAUUCUACCCACCCCCGUACAUUACGGUACACGCGAGUCGAUUCAUACAUACAUUGUUCAUACCUACAUACAUACAUAACACAUACAAUACACCCGCGCCGUUCGAGUGCUUUCAAUAAACCGCCUGUAUAUUAUAUAUCCAUAUAUACUGCGUCGCCUCUUUAUUUUGGGGCCGAGAAGUUAUCUGCAGCGAAGGAAGCCGCCAUCCUACAAACAUUGGUAGCUCGAGCCAGAUUCUUGCUGAAUCGAGACUGUCCCAGCAAGCAUCGGUGGAUUCAAAAAAAAAAACACAACUGCAGAUAUGUACGCUCACAUUGUUCCGCCAAUCGAAUCCUUCCGCGAUUGGCGUUCCGCACUUUUCAAGUCCGACUGUCCACAUAUCCAUAUGUACAUAUAUUCUUAUGUACAUAUUGUCCGAUCCCGCUAAGAAUUUUCGUGUCAGUUUAUCCGCUAACCGCCAUAAUAUCGGCGUCCGACAUUUAUAUUUGUUUAUUGGCGUUUUAUCCGUUUCCAUAGAUUUGUAUAUUCUUACAUUCUCUAUUUUUUAUACCCGGUACUCGAAGAGUAAAUAGGGUAUAUUGUAUUUGUGGGGAAUAACGGUUGUAUGUAACGCACAGAAGGAAACGUUUCCGACCCCAUAAUGUAUAUAUAUAUUUGCUUGAUCAGCAUCAAUAGACGAUUCGAUAGAGCCAUGUCUGUCUGUCCGUCUGUCCGUCUUGUUUGUCGGCUAGUUCUUAGAGACUAUAAGAGCUAAGCCACCAAAUUUUGCAUCCAGACUGCUAUAUGCUCACACUGAAACCAGUGUAUUUCAAAAAUGAGCCACGCCCCCUUCCGCCCCCGCAAAAGGGCGAAAACCUA